UGGUAGGACUAUUUUCAGUGCCAUAUUUCUAUCCAUGGUGGGCUAUUCACAGUGUCAUAUUUCUGUUUAUGAUGGGCUAUUUUAAGUAGUACAUUUUUGCUCAUAUCUGGGCUAUUCUCAGUACCAUAUUUUUACCCAGGGUGGGUUAUUCUUAGUGUUAUAUUUUUGCUCGUUAUGGACUAUUCUCAGUAUCACAUUCUUGCUUAUGAUGAGGCUAUUCGUAAUUUAAUGUGACUAGUCCAAACACCUCUUUCUUGAUCAUCAAUUUAUUAAUCUCAAUUAUGCCAGAAAAAUAUUAUAAAUAUUAUAUUCUUUCAAAUUUCUAAUAGUUGGUAUCACAGUCUAAACCAUCCGAAUAAUCAUCAAUAAAAACAUGUAACACAG
rnacentral:lncRNA from 1 species